rnacentral:rRNA from 1 species
AGGUAGCGAAAUUCCUUGUCGGGUAAGUUCCGACCUGCACGAAUGGCGUAACGACAGCGGCGCUGUCUCCACCCGAGACUCAGUGAAAUUGAAAUCGCUGUGAAGAUGCAGCGUUCCCGUGGCAAGACGGAAAGACCCCGUGAACCUUUACUAUAGCUUUACACUGAACGUUGAGUUCGUCUGUGUAGGAUAGGUGGGAGGCUAUGAAACCAUGGCGCCAGCUGUGGUGGAGCCAUCCUUGAAAUACCACCCUGUCGUGCUUGACGUUCUAACCUGGGCCCAUUAUCUGGGUCGGGGACCGUGUAUGGUGGGUAGUUUGACUGGGGCGGUCUCCUCCUAAAGAGUAACGGAGGAGCUCGAAGGUACGCUCAGCGCGGUCGGACAUCGCGCACUGUGUGCAAAGGCAUAAGCGUGCUUGACUGCAAGAUCGACGGAUCAAGCAGGUAGGAAACUAGGACUUAGUGAUCCGGUGGUUCUGUAUGGAAGGGCCAUCGCUCAACGGAUAAAAGGUACUCCGGGGAUAACAGGCUGAUACCGCCCAAGAGUUCAUAUCGACGGCGGUGUUUGGCACCUCGAUGUCGGCUCAUCACAUCCUGGGGCUGUAGUCGGUCCCAAGGGUAUGGCUGUUCGCCAUUUAAAGUGGUACGCGAGCUGGGUUCAGAACGUCGUGAGACAGUUCGGUCCCUAUCUGCCAUGGGCGUUGGAGAUUUGAGAGGGGCUGCUCCUAGUACGAGAGGACCGGAGUGGACGAACCUCUGGUGUUCCGGUUGUCACGCCAGUGGCAUUGCCGGGUAGCUAUGUUCGGAAGAGAUAACCGCUGAAAGCAUCUAAGCGGGAAACUCGCCUCAAGAUGAGAUCUCCCGGGGCACAAGCCCCCUGAAGGAACCAUGUAGACUACGUGGUUGAUAGGUCAGGUGUGUAAGUACAGCAAUGUAUUGAGCUAACUGAUACUAAUGAUCCGUGCGGCUUGACCAUAUAACCUCA